rnacentral:rRNA from 1 species
UACGUAGGUGACCAGCGUUGUCCGGAUUUACUGGGCGUAAAGAGCGCGCAGGCGGUUGUGCAAGUCGAGUGUGAAAGCCCCCGGCUCAACUGGGGAGGGUCACUCGAUACUGAUCGACUUGAAGGCAGGAGAGGGAAGCGGAAUUCCCGGUGUAGUGGUGAAAUGCGUAGAUAUCGGGAGGAACACCAGUGGCGAAGGCGGCUUCCUGGCCUGUUCUUGACGCUGAGGCGCGAAAGCUAGGGGAGAAAACGGG